rnacentral:lncRNA from 1 species
UUUCUUUUCUUCUUCUCUCUAUACGUUGGUGUUCUAACCAAUAAUCACCGAUACGAUAUUCUAUCCGAUCGAUUCAGGUACCAACUAACGGAUGCCAAAGUGUUGUACUUUGUGAAUUUCGUUAAAUGGAUGCCAGAGUACUGUACUUUGUGAAUUUCGUUAAACGAAUGCCAAAGUGCUGUCUAAACAAGACUAUACUUUGUGAAUUUCGUUAAGGUUCGAAUCUCAUGACCAUCGUUAGGUUUGAUGUGGUUUUACACUAAUACGUAUUCCACUCUGUUAAACUAAAUGCUUAACUACCCGAAACUCUAUACCAUACUCUUACAAUCAAAAUGGAUGCUUAAUCAUCAGAAGGUUCAAAACAGUAAAGUAUAUGCUUAAUUAUCAGAAGGAGUAGAAUCAAGAAGCUUUUUUAAUCAAUACUGCAUACUUAUAAUGUGAGUCAUUCUCUUUUUAUCAAAAGUAUUUUAAAAUACCUCAAAUUAUUUUCGAAAUUAUAAUUACAGGGAUUAAGUCGUAGUUAUCGUGAAUCACUGGCAAGUGGGGUAUUGUGCACAUUACUAAUUUCUCACGGUUAGGUUCAUCAACCUAACGGUGAUAAUCAUCACUACUUGGGUGAAAGGACCCAAUAGUGGUAUGACCAUCGUCACCAGGGUGUGACACGGCGCCAGAUAAAAAUAAGAUAGAAGCCAUUGUAAUCGCUCUUAUGCUGUAAUUCAUAACUAAGGUGUCAUUUUAUAAAACCUGAAUGAACUCACCAGUAUUUCCUACUGACCAAAUGUUUUUAAAACGCGUUUCAGGUAAUUACAAUAGAUCGGAAUAAGAGUUGGAUACGGCACCAAAAAGGCUUACAGAAGUGGCUUGAUUUAUCAAUUAAAUUAAAUUAAGAAAAGUUGUUUUAUGUAUUCUGGUUUAUCCCAUAUUAAAGCUACCUUUCAAAACAUGGUUUUAUCCCAUCUAUUCAAUAAAUAAAAUCCGGUGUUUUCUAAACUCUGAUAUUUUUCCUAACUCACGGUCCUGAUGAAAUUUCCGCUUCAAUGCUUUCAAAAUAACCACCGGUACCACCUGGCUGCUCGCGGCUCUCGAUUCCAUCCAGGGUGGGGUCGGGGGUCGUGACAGAAGGUGGUAUCAGAGCCACUGAUUUAAGCCAAUAGGUGUUGUGAUAAUAAUACCUAAGCUUAAAUAAAAGAGUUAGGAAAUUGCUAUUAACUGGUAGCACACAUGAUAGCAUUUAGACUUGAACUUAAGAAAAGAUGCCUUAGUAUAAGCUUUGAGAUAAGCUAAAUACUUGUGCAAAUAAAGUGUGAUGGGUUGCCGUGAGGAUGACAACUAGAACGUUGCAAAAUAUGGUCCGUCAAGUGAAUACUAAUUUCCUGAUUCUUUGUUGAAAGUCAUAAUGCACUUUCCAAAUCAUGAUUUAAGAAAGAUCUAUUUAUGGGAAAUACAAAUUUCUUCUCCAGCAAGACUGGGUAUGGUGUAGCAGACUCUCCAGCUUGUCCGGAUAUAAUGGGGUAACCUCUCCGGCGAGAACCGGAUAAGACAGGGUAUAUAAUAUGUCAAACAAGUGACAAGAUUUCCCUAAAUAUUAUCAUGACCUGAUAUCUGACUUGUUUUUGAAAAUAAGAAUCUGUUAAAUACAUUGACCUUAUGAAGGGUAUGUAUAUUACAGCAUGUGAAAUAUAUGAUUAUAUAGAUAUGUAUAUCUAUAAGGAAUUCCAAAAGUCAUAACAAUUGAC